GAAAUGCGAUAAGUAAUGUGAAUUGCAGAAUUCAGUGAAUCAUCGAAUCUUUGAACGCACAUUGCGCCCGCCAGCACUCUGGCGGGCAUGCCUGUUCGAGGGUCAUUUCAACCCUCAGAACCCCUUGCGGGAUCUGGCGUUGGGGAUUGGCAUCCAGCCAGCCCCGAAAUCUAGUGGCGGUCCCUCCGCGACCUCCCCUGUGCAGUAGCGAUACCUCGCAGCGGGACAGCGGUCUGACCACGCCGUAAAACCCCCAACUUCUCAAGGUUGACCUCGAAUCAGGUAGGAAUACCCGCUGAACUUAAGC
rnacentral:misc_RNA from 1 species